rnacentral:rRNA from 1 species
GAUGAACGCUGGCGGCGUGCCUAAUACAUGCAAGUCGAGCGAACAGACGAGGAGCUUGCUCCUCUGACGUUAGCGGCGGACGGGUGAGUAACACGUGGAUAACCUACCUAUAAGACUGGGAUAACUUCGGGAAACCGGAGCUAAUACCGGAUAAUAUAUUGACCCGCAUGGUUCAAUAGUGAAAGACGGUUUUGCUGUCACUUAUAGAUGGAUCCGCGCCGCAUUAGCUAGUUGGUAAGGUAACGGCUUACCAAGGCAACGAUGCGUAGCCGACCUGAGAGGGUGAUCGGCCACACUGGAACUGAGACACGGUCCAGACUCCUACGGGAGGCAGCAGUAGGGAAUCUUCCGCAAUGGGCGAAAGCCUGACGGAGCAACGCCGCGUGAGUGAUGAAGGUCUUCGGAUCGUAAAACUCUGUUACUAGGGAAGAACAAAUGUGUAAGUAACUAUGCACGUCUUGACGGUACCUAAUCAGAAAGCCACGGCUAACUACGUG